GGAAGUAUUGCAUAGCGGCCUAAUGCACCUGUCUUGAAAACAGGAGUGGGUGAAACCACCGGGAGUUCAAAUCUCUCUACUUCCGC
rnacentral:tRNA from 1 species